rnacentral:rRNA from 1 species
UACGGAGGAUGCGAGCGUUAUCCGGAUUUAUUGGGUUUAAAGGGUGCGUAGGCGGGCUUUUAAGUCAGCGGUAAAAAUUCGGGGCCCAACCCCGUCCGGCCGUUGAAACUGGGGGCCUUGAGUGGGCGAGAAGAAGGCGGAAUGCGUGGUGUAGCGGUGAAAUGCAUAGAUAUCACGCAGAACCCCGAUUGCGAAGGCAGCCUUCCGGCGCCCUACUGACGCUGAGGCACGAAAGUGCGGGGAUCGAACAGG